rnacentral:piRNA from 1 species
UNGAAAAAGUUUUUGAAAGGGGCUCUGGG